rfam:Botryobasidium botryosum FD-172 SS1 unplaced genomic scaffold BOTBOscaffold_2, whole genome shotgun sequence.
UCCGAUAUGGUGUAGUGGCUAACAUUAUCGCCUCUCAUGCGGAACGCGAUAGCCCGGGGUUCGAUUCCCCGUGUCGGAA